AAAUAAUAUUAUCACCAAUUUAUUAUUAUAACGCAUUGUUUUAAACAACAAGAGCAAUAUGAUCAGAUAAAUGAAAGAAGGACGAAGAACUGCAAUACUUUUUACAACAUGAUGCAGCAAGAACAAUAUGGAAAAAUCAACGAAGGAGGAAGAUAUACAAUACUUUUUGGAAUAUAAUGCAGAUGCAAAAAAUGAUGCACAUAAUCUUUAUCAAGGAUGAAAAGAGUCCCAACGUCUAUCUACAACGUCUAUCGCACGUUUCGUUUCUUUUACGGGAUACGUAUUCCGUAAUCUUUUAUACUAGUUGUUCUGUAAAAAUUAGGAAACAUACAUUGAUGUUUCAUUAUCAGUUUUGCGCGCCGUACUUAUUACACAAACGUACAUACCGAUUCGAUGAUUCGGAAGAAAUGUCAGUUUUCUUAAUGCGCAUUUUGUUCUUUUUUUCGCAUUAUCACUGAAGUCAUACAUCUUGAACGAUAUUGGACAAACAACUUUGUGUUCAAUAGUUUCUUGCCAUUAUCUGGUAAUUUUCAAGAAUAAUUUUCACACUAAUACAUGAAAGCCUGUUUUCUUUAUUUCGUGAUACAGUAUGUGAAUUGUUUGCAAAAAGAAUUGCUUGUACCAAUUAGAUCAUAAUGACAUAUAGGGCUAAGAAGAUGUUGUCCUAUAUCGUGGAAAGAUUGUGAAAAAAUAUUGUUAACGCACCGUAUCAUGUUUAUUGCCAUCAUGCCACUUGCGUGAUUAAAGAAUAUUUUUGCAACGGAAAUUAAUUUACAUUAUGUGACUCAUUAGUAGUAUAAAUUUGAAUGGAGCACAAAAAUUAUCAAAUAAAGAUCUGAACAUAUAUUAACACAUAACAUACGAAUAUUUGUAAAUAUCUUUUUAUAAGUAAAUUUUUAAACAUCUGUUUAUAUAUUUUGUAAUAAUAUUGUAAAUAUUUUUGUAUUUAGUGUAUAUAAUUAAACUAACGUAGGUUGUACAUCUACAUAGAUUUGAUUCUAUAGUCUUAAAAUUAACAGAAAAUUCGUCGCUUCGGUAGAAAAACUUAUAUUUUACAAUAUAAAACAAAUAUACCUAUUAAUUUCUUCAAAAUAAUGUAUUGAAAUAACUAGUUUAUUAUUAUUUGUAUUUGAUAAUAAUAGCAGUAUGAGAGAAAACGAAGAAUUGCAAUACUUUUUACAAGUAGAUAUAAAUGUAUCAGUCAGCUUCUUCUGAUUAAUAUUUUCACCAGUUUAUUAUUAUAAUGCAUUAUUUUUGUCAAGAAGAACAGUAUGAGAACAUUAAGGAAGUAUGAAUCAUUAUUAUUUGAAUUGAAACUAUUGUCUAUAACGUUGAGUAGACUUACGUCUAUUUGUUCUUUGUCAAUAAAAUGAAUAAUUUUGAGUA